rnacentral:rRNA from 1 species
UACAGAGGGUGCGAGCGUUAAUCGGAAUUACUGGGCGUAAAGGGUGCGUAGGUGGUUUGAUAAGUUAGGUGUGAAAGUCCUGGGCUUAACCUGGGGAUUGCGCUUAAGACUGUUGAGCUAGAGUACUGUAGAGGAAGGUGGAAUUUCCGGUGUAGCGGUGAAAUGCGCAGAUAUCGGGAGGAACACCAAUGGCGAAGGCAGCUCGCUGGGACGUGACUGACGCUGAGACGCGAAAGCGUGGGGAGCAAACAGG